AACUUUAAUACGCCAACGAGUCAAGUGUAUCCAUCGUUGAAAUAACUCCGCUGUAUUUCGAAAUUAUUACGCAUUAGUUAUUACGUCGAUUCUCAUAUAAUCUGAUAUUGGCAAAACAAUCAAGAGAAAAUAUUCAACCGAGCCGACAGACAACGACAAGUUUAGUACAUAUAUAAAUAUCUUGUAAAGUCGAAAGCUAUAUAAUUUAUUACUAGAUCUGCGAUUGAAACGAAUAAUUGACGAAGGUUUAAGGAACACUAUAAAUCCGUCGUAAACGUUGUAAAUUCUUCACGUUUCCUUGGAGCAAGAUGGAUUGUAGCUUGUAGAUAUAUAAAUAUGUAUAUCUAUAUAUAUAUAUAUAUAUAUAUAUAUAUAUAUAUGUGUAUGUGUGUGGCAAUGUAAAAGUAAAGUAUCCAAGGCACGAGAUAACAAAAUGUAGCAUCUCGAGAAAAGUUAAGUUAGUAUCUGGCUAUGAGAAAAGAUCCGAAAGUAAAGCAGUCCAAUCGAAUUCGUACGACUUGAAAAGUUCACGAAAGGAUAUCGAGCCGCGUCGAUGUCGAAUCAGGUGUUCCACGAUAUUUUUCUCGGAGUUUGAACUUUUUAACGCGAAAUGGAGCACGAAGAAACGAUCGGCAAUGUUUUCCAUUUUGUUUCACCCUUUUAUAAGUUUUCUAACGUAAGAGUUAAACCAUUUGGUAUGCUUUCACGAAUUUUUUUCCUAUAUAAAUAUGUUUCUUUAUCGUCAUUCGUAAUGUUUUCUUCGAUAACGUUUACAAAAUAGUUAAUACGAAAUAUAAUGAAAAGUAUUAAUGUAGAAAAUGCACUGUGAAAACAAAUUUUAUGAAUAACGUACAAGUAUUUUAUAUGUGUUUACGAAAGAAGUUAAGCGAAUUAAAGAGAAAGAGAGAGAGGGAGAAGCAAGACGAGAAAUAGGUAGGUAGGUAGGUAAUACAUGUGUGUGUUUUCUCGAGGAACAAACCCUUCUGGGAUACGGAUAUAUAUAUAUAUAUAUACGAUGGGUAUUUAGUCUCGGAGCGUGGACACCGUUAACAUUGGAACAUUGUAUCGAGCUUUCAUUGCAAAUAUUGGUUUUGAGGUUACUCGCGGUAGGAUAGUUUACGUUCGCUUGUAAAAUGCUGAUGCACGGUGGUUACGUUCGGUGUUAACGUCGCUCAACGACUUUAAUCCGAUCGAAAGUCGAAUGAAAAUCCGAAGGACAUUUGCGUGACAUUCGUGGUAAGAUCCUCG